CAACUAAAUAUGCGUUGAGGUGACCCGUGAGCCCGGAAGCUAGGGCAUAAAGGUGGAAGCUGGUGCGAGUCCAGCGCUGUGCCGCAACUGUAUGCAGGCCCCAAGCCUGCGAGCCAGGAUACCUGCCUCAAGUACGCUGCCGCG
rnacentral:ncRNA from 1 species